UGCGAGAAUAUUAGGGUAGAGUGCUCUAAGAGUGCGCGGUCAAUAAGAGUACGCACUCGUCGAUUUUUGGAGCACGUCGUCGACAUCAACAAGGUGUUAGUUCGUACUGAUUAAGAGGAGUGUUUGCAUGUUUAUUGUGCAUUUUAAGCAAAUAAACAGCGAUAAUAACGUUAUUAGCAUGUCUGGCAGAAAACGAAGUUCUCAACGUGCUUUAUGCUCACCGGCGGUUAUGGAGGCAGCAAGACAGAGGAUUGAAAAUGGAGAAAGUACAAGAAGCGUGGCAAAAUCCUUAGGAAUGGCAGAAAGCACGUUAAGGACAACUGUAGCUACAAAACUGGGAAGAUUCGACAUUACCUUAACAGCAGAAAUGGAAGAAGAGUUGUGUAAUUAUAUUAAAAUAAUAGACAACAUGUUUUACGAGUUAACUUCUAGAGCUCUAAGAAGUCUAGUAUUUGAGUUCGCUGAAAAAAACAAAUUAAAACAUCGUUUUAAUAUAACUUCAAAAAUGGCAGGCAAGGGCUGGCUGCGUGGAUUUUAUCGGAUUUUAAAUCGGCACAAAGAUGUUACAUUAAGGCAACCCACCGCUACAAGCGUCGCCGGGCUGUUGGGUUUAAUAAACCACAGUGUGAGCGGUUUUAUAAAAACCUCUCGGAGUUAAUAAACGAAUAUAAAUUUCCGCCACAUGCAAUUUACAAUAUGGACGAAUCGGGAUUUUCAACUGUCCCAAACAAUCCCCCUAAAGUUUUCUCUACAAAAGGAAAAAGGUGUGUCAAUAAAAUAUCAAGCGCAGAACGGGGAACCAAUGUUACUGUUGUAUGUGCAAUGAGUGCUAGUAUAUAAUUUAUUCCUCCCGCAUUUUUAUAUCCACGUAAAAGAAUAUGACAGAACUUUUGGACGAAGCUCCGCCAUCUUCAAUUGGAAUGGUAUCUGAUAGUAGUUUCAUCAAUCAGGAUUUGUUUGUUGAUUAUGCCACACAUUUUCGAGAUCAUGCUAAGGAACAACCAGUACUAAUGAUAAUGGCAAACCACACUUCCCAUUGUUCUAUUGCAGCAGUUGAUUUUUUUCGAAAAUAUAACAUUAUCGCAUUAACACUUCCUCCUCAUAGUAGCCACCGUAUGCAGCCACUUGACCGAUGUUUUUUUAGCCCGUUAAAAAAGUUUUAUUCCAACGAGUGUGAAAAAUGGUUGACGAACCAUCCAGGGCAGGUAAUUACGGUCUACCAAAUUGCUUCAAUAUUUAAUAAUAAUAAUAAUAAGACUUUUAUUAAUCACCAGAUUAAAAAAAAAUUACAAUUCUGGUAUAAACCAAAUGCAUAUCACAUAUUAAAUAGUUCGUUCUUUACAAAGAGCACAUUUAAUGUGUAUUGAAACAAUUAAAAAAUAUCUAUAGAACUUAAAUUUUAUACAAAUACAAAUAAAAUUCCAGAAGGUGACUAAUAGGCCAUGUUUUCAGACUUCCAGGGAACAACCCCUGCGAGAUUCCCUGAAUUCUGUUGAGGCCUUAUAUAUAUUUAAUAAUUAUAAAUUAUAAAUGACACUUAUAAAUAAUAAACAAAAGCAUUUUCCCAGUUAAAGAAAAAAAGAAGAAAGUUAAUAUAACACGAAUAAAAAGCAUACUGAUGGGAUAAGGAGAGAAUAGGAAAAGGAACUGGAAUUGAACAAGGAAAAGGUUGGCACAUAUAAAUAAUUCGAUUUUAUAAUUUAAAAAUAAAAAUAAAAAACAAUUUUUUAUUAUAAAUACUUAAGUGAGUAAUUUGUUAUUGAUUUAUUAGAAUUAGUUUAGUUUUUAUUUUAAAAGUUUUUUCUGACAUGGUAAAAUCAUUUAUAGUAUAGUGUGCUAUUAAGUAAGAAAACGAUCUUUUAAAAAAAUCUUUAAUGUGUGAAGGAAUAGUUAAUAAUUGUUUUCUUCUAAUAUUCAAGUUGUGCACGUCAGUCCGAUAUCUAACUUUUCCAUGUAAAUAUGAAGGAAUCCUUGACUUAAGAAUUUUGAAAAAGAAGCAAAUAAGAUGCAACACUGUACGAUUGUACAUAUUUAACCACCCCGCAACCUUUAGCUUAUGUGAAAUAUGUUCUCUCCUUCUUAUGCCAUAUACAAACCUAAGACAGGAAUUCUGAAGUUUUUAUAUUCUAUAUGAGUCAGAAGAAUCAAGGCAAGGGCCAUAGAUGGUGUCACAAAAAUUUAAUUGGGAUAGUACCAAUGUUUCACAAAGCAUUUUUCUUAUAGGCAAAUUUAGGUAAUCUCUUUGCGAAAAAAUCAUUUUUAGUGCGGAGUAGCCACUUUUCAUUUUAAGAGUAACAUGAUCCUUAAAUCUUAGUUUGUAAUCCAUUAAAAGUCCAAGAUUCUUAGCAGAAUUUUUAAAAGUUAUGUUGUCAUUAUUAAUGUAAAGUUGCAAGGUAUUUAAAAUAUUUGUUCGUUUAUUAUCACUACAAAAAAGAAUGGCUGUGGACUUAGUGGGAUUAACUUUUAAAAGUAACUUUUCCGUUUCUAUAAAUAAAUUGUUAAGGUCUUCAUUAAUUUUUAUAUUAGCCUGCCAAACAUCAGUAUCUUUAAAAGGGAAAUAGAUCUGGGUGUCGUCCGCGUAGUUAUCAUGUUUACAAUAUGUUAUCUUCUUUGUUAUCUGAGAUGUGUAAAGUGUGUAGAGUAUUGGCCCAAAAUGCUACCCUGCGGAACACCGCUGACUACGUCUAGAAACCCCGAUUCAUUAUCAUUCAAAAUCACCCGCUGUUUACGAUCUGACAAAAAAGAAGAUAUUAAAGUUACGGCCGACUCACAAAAUCCCACAUAAUGCAAAAUUGAUAAAAGUAUCUGAUGAUUAACCAUAUCGAAAGCUUUAGUAAAAUCUAGUAAAAUUAAUACGGUUGCUUGACUAUUAUCAAGGGCUCUAAAUAUAUCAUCAGACACUUGAGCCAACGCGGUGGCACAGCUAUACCCUUUACGGAAGCCAGAUUGAUAUUCAGGAAUCAAAUUAUUAUUCUUUAAAUAGUCCAAUAUCUGUUGCUCCAUAAUUUUCUCAAUUACUUUAGAAAAAACAGAAAGAACGGAGACUGAUCGAAGAUUGCCAAAUUCAAUUGGAUUUUUUAUUUUUGGUAUAGGAAUAAUAUUGGCUUGCUUCCAUUUUUUUGGAAAGUAGUUUUCCUCUAAACAAAUAUUUAUUAAAUGACAUAAUGGAUUAAUAAUAGUAGGACAACAAAGUAAGAUAAGAGUUAUGUUUAAGUUAUCGACCCCAAAUGCUUUGCUUUUUAUAGUUUUUAAAAUGUUUACGAUUAAGUCUUGAGUUAUUAGGUUAAACUUAAAUUCAUUUGCACCUGCAUAUUUUAAAGCUGCUAUUUUAACGAAUGCGGUUGAUGGUUUUAAAGUGACAGGGAUAUGAAGCUGACUUCAUGGCCACUUUAGUCACAGAACGAGAAAAUUCUGCUACAGCUACAGUAGCUACGCAAGUAGAAGCGCCAAACAUUCAGUUAGAAGUCGCUGAUAACUCAACGUCUAAAAUCAAUAUUCAACCUCAUCAAAUCUCUGAAUUAGCCUCUGAAAAUGCUUCCAAAGUUCUUGACAGUUCAACUGUUGUUCUUGAGAGAUACUCCACUACUAAGAAAAAUUCACCUGAGCCUACAGAGCUGGUUUCCAACACAUCUGCAAUCAUUUCAACUUUGGAACAAACAGUUGCUGUAGCGCCAGAAACCAAAACAUUUGAUUUAUCGAACACUCCUGGAACAUCAUCAACUUAUAUUAAAUUAACAACAAUUUCUCCAUUACCCAAAUCAAUUACGUUCGUGUCAACAAGUCGCAGAAGCAAAAAGUCGGAAAUUAUCACCAGCUCCCCAUAUAAGGACCAACUAAUUGAAGAAAAACAGAAAAGAAAAACCGAAACCCAUAGUCAAACUAGAUAUGGGCGAUAACCCACCACCACCACAAGAGCUUCCGGAAGAGAGUUUAAAAAGAAAAUGUGCUGUGAACCUCAGACAGGCAAAGAAGAAACCGAAAAAUGGAAACGCUGUUUUAAAGAAGCCAAAAUCACCGCCUCAUAAGAAAAUGUGGAGCUGUCCAGGGUGCAACGAAACAUUUAAAGAACCUGUUACAGAAGACUGGAUUGAGUGCAUAUUGUGUGCUGAAUGGUGGCAUGAAAAAUGCAGUGACCUACUUAUACAUGUGACCUAUGUUCAUAAAAUUGCGUGCGUACUCUUACAAUACUAAAUGCGUACUCUUAAAAAGCGGGUUUAUAAAAGUGCGCAAAAUCACUUUUUUUUAAGUUUCAUUUUUUCUGUUGAAGUACUGAUGUUUAGUUUGCGAAUUAUACCUUAUUUUAUUGUUCAAGUAUCAAUAGUCAUAAAUAAAAAAAUAUAUAUUUUCAA